GCCAAACACCAGUCAGAUGGCCUGAAAAAUUGCAUGGGGAGAAAACCACAACUCAGUGGACAUCUAUGUGCCCAUGGCUUUCGGCAGACAUCCUUGGUAUUUUGAUUCUGUCACCAAGACUAACUCCAUAUUCCAGAGGUUUGACAGCACUGGUUCUCAAACUUCAGUGUGCACCAAAAUUACCAGUGAAGCUUCUUAAAAAUACAGAGGGAAGCCCUGGGCUCUAUCCCAGACCUACUGACCCAGAAUCUCUGGGCUACAGCCCUGACAUCUGCUUUCAUAAUAACCUGCCCAGAUGAUCAUCAUACACAUCAAAACCUAAC
rnacentral:lncRNA from 1 species